UGGGGAAUUUUGGACAAUGGGCGAAAGCCUGAUCCAGCAAUGCCGCGUGUGUGAAGAAGGCCUUCGGGUUGUAAAGCACUUUUGUCCGGAAAGAAAUGGCUCUGGUUAAUACCUGGGGUCGAUGACGGUACCGGAAGAAUAAGGACCGGCUAACUACGUGCCAGCAGCCGCGGUAAUACGUAGGGUCCAAGCGUUAAUCGGAAUUACUGGGCGUAAAGCGUGCGCAGGCGGUUGUGCAAGACCGAUGUGAAAUCCCCGAGCUUAACUUGGGAAUUGCAUUGGUGACUGCACGGCUAGAGUGUGUCAGAGGGGGGUAGAAUUCCACGUGUAGCAGUGAAAUGCGUAGAGAUGUGGAGAAAUACCGAUGGCGAAGGCAGCCCCCUGGGAUAACACUGACGCUCAUGCACGAAAGCGUGGGGAGCAAACAGG
rnacentral:rRNA from 2 species